AUAGGUUUGGUCCCAGCCUUCCUGUUAACUUUCAAUAGACUUAUACAUGCAAGCAUCCACGCCCCGGUGAGUAACGCCCUUCGAAUCACACAGGACUAAAAGGAGCAGGUAUCAAGCACACACUCUUGUAGCUCACAACGCCUUGCUUAACCACACCCCCACGGGAGACAGCAGUAACAAAAAUUAAGCCAUAAACGAAAGUUUGACUAAGCCAUAUUGACUAGGGUUGGUAAAUCACGUGCCAGCCACCGCGGUCAUACGAUUGACCCAAGCUAACAGGAGUACGGCGUAAAGCGUGUUAAAGCAUCAUACUAAAUAGAGUUAAAUUUUAAUUAAACUGUAAAAAGCCAUAAUUAUAACAAAAAUAAAUGACGAAAGUAACCCUACAAUAGCUGAUACACCAUAGCUAAGACCCAAACUGGGAUUAGAUACCCCACUAUGCUUAGCCCUAAACACAAAUAAUUAU
rnacentral:rRNA from 1 species